rnacentral:rRNA from 1 species
GAAUUCACUAGUGAUUCAGGCCUAACACAUGCAAGUCGAACGGGAAUUACUUUAUUAAAACUUCGGUCGAUUUAAUUUAAUUCUAGUGGCGGACGGGUGAGUAACGCGUGGGUAACCUGCCUUAUACAGGGGGAUAACAGUCAGAAAUGACUGCUAAUACCGCAUAAGCGCACGGAACCGCAUGGUUCUGUGUGAAAAACUCCGGUGGUAUAAGAUGGACCCGCGUUGGAUUAGCUUGUUGGUGGGGUAACGGCUCACCAAGGCGACGAUCCAUAGCCGGCCUGAGAGGGUGAACGGCCACAUUGGGACUGAGACACGGCCCAGACUCCUACGGGAGGCAGCAGUGGGGAAUAUUGCACAGUGGGGGAAACCCUGAUGCAGCGACGCCGCGUGAAGAAAGGAGUAUCUCGGUAUGUAAACUUCUAUCAGCAGGGAAGAUAGUGAC